GAUGAACGCUAGCGGCAGGCUUAAUACAUGCAAGUCGAGGGGCAGCAUGAUUGUAGCAAUACAAUUGAUGGCGACCGGCAAACGGGUGCGGAACACGUACACAACCUCCCAAUAAGUGGGGAAUAGCCCAGAGACAUUUGGAUUAAUACCCCGUAACAUAACGAUGUGGCAUCACAUUGUUAUUAUAGAUUUUUCGCUUAUUGAUGGGUGUGCGGCUGAUUAGAUAGUUGGCGGGGUAACGGCCAACCAAGUCUACGAUCAGUAGCUGAUGUGAGAGCAUGAUCAGCCACACGGGCACUGAGACACGGGCCCGACUCCUACGGGAGGCAGCAGUAAGGAAUAUUGGACAAUGGACGCAAGUCUGAUCCAGCCAUGCCGCGUGAAGGAUUAAGGUCCUCUGGAUUGUAAACUUCUUUUAUAAGGGACGAAAAAAGGCUUUUCUAAGUCGUCUGACGGUACCUUAUGAAUAAGCACCGGCUAACUCCGUGCCAGCCGCCGCGGUAAAAC
rnacentral:rRNA from 1 species